CAGUGCAGUCACCCAUAAAGUAGAAAGCACUACUAACAGCACUGGAGGGUGUAGUGUUUCCUACUUUAUGGAUGAGUGUACUGU
rfam:Gorilla gorilla gorilla genomic chromosome, chr5, whole genome shotgun sequence